GAUGAACGCUGGCGGCGUGCCUAAUACAUGCAAGUCGAGCGAACCGUCCAGGAGCUUGCUCCUCUGACGUUAGCGCCGGACGGAUGAGUCACACGUGGAUAACCUACCUAUAAGACUCUUAUAACAACAGGAAACCGGCGCUACUACCGGAUGAUAUAUUGCACCGCAUGGUUCACUAGUGAAAGACGCUUUUUCUGUCACUUAUAGAUGCAUCCGCGCCGCAUUAGCUAGUUGGUAAGGUAACGGCUUACCCAGGCUACGAUGCGAAGCGGACCUGAAAGCGAGGUCGAGCAGCUGGGAAGUGAGACAGGGUACAGACUUCGACGGGAGGCAGCAGUAGGGAAUCUUCCGCAAGGGGGGAGUGCGUGACGGAGCAACAUGGGGUGAGUGAUGACGGUCUUAGGAUGGGAAAACGCUGUAAGUAGGGGGAAACAAAUGUGUUAUUAACGAUGAACGUAUUGACGGUACCUAAUCAGAAAGCCACGGCUAACUACGUG
rnacentral:rRNA from 1 species